rnacentral:rRNA from 1 species
GUCGAGAGGCUUCGGCAAUGGGGGAAACCCUGACCGAGCGACGCCGCGUGAGGGAUGACGCCCUUCGGGGUGUAAACCUCUUUUCUGGGGGAAGAACCGCACGGGGGCAAAUAGGCCUCGUGCCUGACGGUACCCCAGGAAUAAGCUCCGGCUAACUCCGUGCCAGCAGCCGCGGUAAUACGGGGGGAGCAAACGUUGUUCGGAAUUACUGGGCGUAAAGGGCGCGUAGGCGGACCCGCAAGUGGUGUGUGAAAUGCCCUGGCUCAACCAGGGAACUGCGCACCAAACUGCAGGUCUUGAGGACAGUAGAGGAAGCUGGAAUUCCUGGUGUAGCGGUGAAAUGCGUAGAUAUCAGGAGGAACACCGUUGGCGAAGGCGGGCUUCUGGGCUGUCUCUGACGCUGAGGCGCGAAAGCUGGGGGAGCAAACAGGAUUAGAUACCCGGGUAGUCC